rnacentral:rRNA from 1 species
ACCGUGUACAAGUCUCUUGGAACAGAGCGUCAUAGAGGGUGAGAAUCCCGUCUUUGACACGGACUACCAGUGCUUUGUGAUGCGCUCUCAAAGAGUCGAGUUGUUUGGGAAUGCAGCUCAAAAUGGGUGGUAAAUUCCAUCUAAAGCUAAAUAUUGGCGAGAGACCGAUAGCGAACAAGUACCGUGAGGGAAAGAUGAAAAGCACUUUGGAAAGAGAGUUAAACAGUACGUGAAAUUGCUGAAAGGGAAACGCUUGAAGUCAGUCGCGUCGUUCAGAACUCAACCUGGCUUUUGCUCGGYGCACUUUCUGUUCGACGGGCCAGCAUCAGUUUUGACCGUCGGAGAAAGGCCCUUGGAAUGUGGCACCUUCGGGUGUGUUAUAGCCUCGGGUCAUAUACGGCGGUUGGGACUGAGGACCGCAGCACGCCUCACGGCCGGGGUUCGCCCACGCACGUGCUUAGGAUGCUGGCAUAAUGGCUUUAAACGACCCGUCUUGAAACACGGACCAAGGAGUCUAACAUGCCUGCGAGUGUUUGGGUGGAAAACUCGAACGCGCAACGAAAGUGAAAGUUGGGAUCCCUGUCGCGGGGAGCACCGACGCCCAUACCAGACCUUCUGUGACGGAUAUGCGGUUGAGCAUGCAUGUUGGGACCCGAAAGAUGGUGAACUAUGCC